CUUGAUGUUCAUCAGGGAGCCAAAUUGCUGGUGCUGCCCUUUGUUGGUCAUGAAGUGGACGACAAACGAUCGGCUUAUCUAGUCGAACGAGUAGAAGGAGUCCAACUUCAGACCCAAGUACCAAUCCCGAGCUACCUUCUUAAUGAUAGAGAGGAAGGCUCAGCAUAGAAUCUUGUCGCUUGCUUCUUAAAGGAGUAUGAGGGCCUUGAAGCUCUCUA
rnacentral:lncRNA from 1 species